rnacentral:lncRNA from 1 species
AAGAGACAGCGCCGCCGGCCGUGGGGAGCGGACGCAGUGAUUUGCUCCCCCUCGUGCAGCAACCCCCACACCCAGCACCAGGCCCCCAGAACUCUCCUUCCAGCUGAACUCCCUGGGAACAAGUCAGUUGGGCUGAUCACUGAACUCACAUUUCUGGACCUGAGGAGCCUGUUCCUCUCACGCCCUCACCUGGCUGAGCCGCAGUAGUUCUUCAGUGGCAAGCUUUAUGUCCUGACCCAGCUAAAGCUGCCAGUUGAAGAACUGUUGCCCUCUGCCCCUGGCUUCGAGGAGGAGGAGGAGCUGCUUUCCCCAUCAUCUGGAAGGUGACAGAAAUGGGCUGGGAAGGUCCGAACAGCAGGGUGGAUGAUACGUUUUGGGCAAGUUGGAGAGCCUUUGCCCAGAUUGGCCCAGCAAGGAGCGGUUUUAGAUUAGAGACACUGGCUGGAUUGAGGAGUAGAAGGCUCAAACAACCCAAGCGGCUACAGGAAGCUGUGUCUGUUCGAUUUGGUGGGAGGAGAUGUGCAGGGAGCUGUAUCUUGUCCUCCGCUUGUGAAAA